UACUGCGCCCAUUGCAGCACAUUCCUCGUAGUCAGUUCGGAAGUUCCCCUCCUGUUGUUUCGGAAGCCACUACCGCUAAUUUGCUUUCAGGAACCGUCUGCAAUUCAUCGCAACUUAACAGAUAGAGGUUUAUUUCCAUGACUACAGGUACAGUCAAGUGGUUCAACGAUUCCAAGGGCUUUGGCUUCAUUACCCCGGAAGAUGGCAGCAAAGAUGUGUUCGUGCAUCACAGUGCCAUCCAGGGCGGCGGCUUCCGGUCGCUGGCUGAAGGCCAGAAGGUGACUUUCAGCAUCGAGCAGGGCCCGAAGGGUCCGUCGGCGGCGAAUGUUCAGCCAGCCUAAGCAGCUCACCCUGCGCAAGUCGUUUUGAGAACAAGGCCCCGCCCUGUGCGGGGCCUUUUCU
rnacentral:sRNA from 1 species